ACAUUCUCCUCCUGCAUCUCUGUGACCGUAUGAAGGAGAGAGCAGAUUGCAACUCUUUUAACACAUUUCUCAGAGUUCUGAAGAAUAGCAUUCUUUGAACACCACUUUGCAAGAUGUUGCUAAAAGAAGAAAUCAAGAAUUACAAUGUCAUCAUAAUCACUAUCUUCAACAAGUCUUCUAGAUACAUAAGAGAUGAACUCUGCUGGCAUAGAGUUCUCUUCUACUGAUUUUCAAAGGUGAAAAACUGUGUUCCCUCUUCUGAAGGAAGGAAGAGCAGAGGAGAAGCAUCUAGAUAUAUUUAUUUUCAGAUCAACUGAAGUGAGAGCUGCUGAUCCACUUGCACUAAUUAAAAUCAAUAGCCCAAACAAUGAACUACCGGGAUCAUCUGGAAACGGGAGACACUUGCCAAAUGUAAUAUUGUAUUGACAUGCAGGGAGAAGCCUACGUUUAUCCUAAACAAAUAGAGGGAAGAAAACAGCCUUGAAUUUAGUAAAACCUGGCAAACUUUUUUUCCAUAAAAUUGAUUCUACAUCUUUACUUUUGACUGGAAGUAGAAAUAAUCAAUCUAAUUUUUAUUCUAAUUAGCUCUCCUUAAUUUUAUUUUAUUCUAAUUAGUUCUAACUAGGUUGAA